GACGUAUGUUCAGAGUUUGAUCCUGGCUCAGGAUGAACGCUGGCGGCGUGCUUAACACAUGCAAGUCGAACGGAAGUUUUAAAUGGAAGUUUUCGGAUGGAAAUUUAAACUUUAGUGGCGGACGGGUGAGUAACGCGUGGGUAACCUGCCGUAUACAGGGGGAUAACACUUAGAAAUAGGUGCUAAUACCGCAUAAGCGCACAGCAACGCAUGUUGCAGUGUGAAAAGCUGAGACGGUAUACGAUGGACCCGCGUCUGAUUAGCUAGUUGGUGAGGUAGAGGCCCACCAAGGCGACGAUCAGUAGCCGGCCUGAGAGGGUGACCGGCCACAUUGGGACUGAGACACGGCCCAA
rnacentral:rRNA from 1 species